CCUACGGGGGGCAGCAGUGGGGAAUAUUGCACAAUGGGGGAAACCCUGAUGCAGCGACGCCGCGUGAGUGAAGAAGUAUUUCGGCACGUAAAGCUCUAUCAGCAGGGAAGAAAAAAGACGGUACCUGACUAAGAAGCCCCGGCUAACUACGUGCCAGCAGCCGCGGGAAUACGUAGGGGGCAAGCGUUAUCCGGUUUUACUGGGUGAAAAGGGAGCGUAGACGGCGAGGCAAGUCUGAAGUGAAAGGCAGGGGCUUAACCCCUGAACUGCUUUGGAAACUGCCAUGCUGGAGUGCUGGAGAGGUAAGUGGAAUUCCUAGUGUAGCGGUGAAAUGCGUAGAUAUUAGGAGGAACACCAGUGGCGAAGGCGGCUUACUGGACAGUAACUGACGUUGAGGCUCGAAGGCGUGGGGAGCAAACAGGAUUAGAUACCCUUGUAGUC
rnacentral:rRNA from 1 species